GACGUAGGGCGCGAGCGUUGUCCGGAUUUAUUGGGCGUAAAGAGCUCGUAGGCGGCUUGUCGCGUCGAAUGUGAAAACUCGGGGCUCAACUCCGAGCUUGCAUUCGAUACGGGCAGGCUAGAGUUCGGUAGGGGAGACUGGAAUUCCUGGUGUAGCGGUGAAAUGCGCAGAUAUCAGGAGGAACACCGGUGGCGAAGGCGGGUCUCUGGGCCGACAUUGACGCUGAGGAGCGAAAGCCAGGGGAGCAAACGGG
rnacentral:rRNA from 1 species